CCUACGGGUGGCAGCAGUGAGGAAUAUUGGUCAAUGGACGAGAGUCUGAUCCAGCCAAGUAGCGUGAAGGAUGACUGCCCUAUGGGUUGUAAACUUCUUUUAUAUGGGAAUAAAUUGUUCCACGUGUGGGAUUUUGUAUGUACCAUAUGAAUAAGGAUCGGCUAACUCCGUGCCAGCAGCCGCGGUAAUACGGGGGAUCCGAGCGUUAUCCCGAUUUAUUGGGUUUAAAGGGAGCGUAGGUGGAUUGUUAAGUCAGUUGUGAAAGUUUACGGCUCAACCGUAAAAUUGCAGUUGAAACUGGCAGUCUAGAGUACAGUAGAGGUGAGCGGAAUUCGUGGUGUAGCGGUGAAAUGCUUAGAUAUCACGAAGAACUCCGAUUGCGAAGGCAGCUCACUGGACUGCAACUGACACUGAGGCUCGAAAGUGUGGGUAUCAAACAGGAUUAGAUACCCGAGUAGUC
rnacentral:rRNA from 1 species